rnacentral:rRNA from 1 species
UACGUAGGGACCAAGGCGUUGUUCGGAUUUACUGGGCGUAAAGGGCGCGAUAGGCGGCAAUUCAAGUCAUCUGUGGAAAUCUCCGGGCUUAACUCGGAAUGGUCAGGUGAUACUGCUUUGCUAGAGUGCAGGAAGGGGCAAUCGGAAUUCUUGGUGUAGCGGUGAAAUGCGUAGAUAUCAAGAGGAACACCUGAGGUGAAGACGGGUUGCUGGGCUGACACUGACGUGAGGCGCGAAAGCUAGGGGAGCAAACGGG